UGUUUGAUUGAGUUAAGGGUGUCUUUGGAAAUGCGAAAAAUAAUUUCUGUAAAUCAUUUUUCGAGUUUCUAGUGUUUGGAUGUGCCUGGAAAAUCAAGUCAACGGAAAUUAUUUCUGUUGAUUUG